CGUUAUAUUAAUGUCAACACAAUAUUCGUUUAUCUGUGGUUCACAAUUUGUAGACACAUCAAGUAUCGGAUCUGAAUUUUACAAAUUAGGAUAAUCCAGACAGAAGUCCUCACACUUGUUUAAGAUGGCUACAAUUCCAGUCGUAGUGGUGCUUUGCGCAAUUUUUAUUGCUGAAUUGACAACAGUAGCAACGACAACA